GUUUAUUAAGUUGGGGGUGAAAUCUCCGGGCUCAACCCGGAGCUCGUUCUCAAAACUGGUAGACUUGAGUAAGGUAGAGGCUGACGGAAUUCUGCAAGUAGGGGUAAAAUCCGUUGAUCUGCAGAGGAACACCAAAAGCGAAGGCAGUCAGCUGGGCCUUUACUGACGCUGAGGGACGAAAGCGUGGGUAGCGAACGGGAUUAGAUACCCCGGUAGUCCACGCCGUAAAUGAUGGAUACUGGACAUUGGUACUCGAUCGUAUCAGUGUCUCAAGCUAACGCAUUAAGUAUCCCGCCUGGGGAGUACGGUCGCAAGAUUAAAACUCAAAGGAAUAGACGGGGACCCACACAAGCGGUGGAGCAUGUGGUUUAAUUCGACAAUAAGCGAGGAACCUUACCAGGGCUUGACAUCCCGAGAAUUCUUUAGAAAUAGAGAAGUGCCUUUAUGGAACUCGGUGACAGGUGCUGCAUGGUUGUCGUCAGCUCGUGCCUUGAGGUGUUCGGUUAAGUCCGUAAACGAGCGCAACCCUAGUCCUAUGUUGUAUAUUUCAUAGGAGACUGCCUUGUCCAACGAGGAGGAAGGUUAGGAUGACGUCAAAUCAGCAUGGCCCUUAUGUCCUGGGCGACACACGUGCUACAAUGGUCGGUACAAUGGGUAGCCAACCCGCGAGGGGGAGCCAAUCCCAUCAAAGCCGGUCCAAGUUCGGAUUGGAGGCUGCAACUCGCCUCCAUGAAGUUGGAAUCGCUAGUAAU
rnacentral:rRNA from 1 species